AACAGCAAUUUAAACAAACACAUGAGAAUCCACACAGGACAGAAACCCUUUUGUUGUGAGCUGUGUGAUCGAAGGUUUACUGAAAAGGGCAAUUUAGACAAACACAUGAUAAUCCACACAGGACAGAAACCCUUUUGUUGUGAGCUGUGUGAUCGAAGGUUUACUGAAAAGGGCAAUUUAGACAAACACAUGAUAAUUCACACAGGACAGAAGCCAUUUUGUUGUGAGCUGUGUGAUCGAAGGUUUACCACAAAGGGCAAUUUAGACAAACACAUGAGAAUCCACACAGGACAGAAGCCAUUUUGUUGUGAGCUGUGUGAUCAAAGGUUUGCUGAAAAGGGCAGUUUAGACAGACACGUGAGAAUCCACACAGGAGAGAAGCCAUUUUGUUGUGAGCUGUGUGAUCAAAGGUUUACCAGAAGGAGCAGUUUAAACACACACAUGAGAAUCCACACUAAAACAAAGCACUCAUAUGACUCCUAAGUUGAAACAACACAAGAGGAAACAUCAGUUUGUCUUUACACACACUUCAAAUAAACUAAGACUAUGCUGCUUUUUACCAAGUUGGGAAAGUCCAGAUAAUGAUGAUGCCAUGAAUCUGGAAACUUUAAUGUUAGUUGACAGCAUUGGAGUGAUUACAGACACAUGUGGACACAUUUUAAAGCUGAUCCAAAACACUGCUUAUUUGCAUGAGACCCCAAGAACAAUUAAAAGAAACCAGUCCCGAUGUCAGGAAGAAAACUGUUGACCUUCACAACUCUGGUUCAUCCUUGGGUGUGUAUGAACGCCAAAGUUAAUGGUCUGAACUGAAAAGAGCAGCCUACAAACCUGAGUCACUUCCACUAGUUUUGUCAGGUUUUUCUCCUCGUCACCAGAGGGUGGUUUUGUUACAGGAUAGAGCAGAAGAGACAGAGUUAGGAUGGACAGUAGAAACUGAAAGAGAUGUGUUUAAUAAAAUGAAGUUUCAUUAGUUGCUUGAAUCAAACUUUUAGUAUAAAUCAUCUUGUUACCAUCUUACUGUCAAACAUUAAAAAGGUUGUCACUGAAUUUAAUUUUAUCGUUUCCAAGUUUUAGUGAUAAAUGUGUAGCGUGGAUGUUUGUUAGUAACCGACUGUUUUCUCACAAUAAUGUACAGUAUGUGAAUAUAUAUCUGCUGUUAGUUUAGUGUUAAAAUUCACAUUUUAUUAUUAAAAACAUGUCCUAGAUGACAAGAGGUCUGUAGUCAUCUAGGUACAGGUAUUAGCUGAAUGUUCUGUUGGAGUUACACAAUUGUUAGAAUGUUUUAAGAUGUUAAGAUAAUUAUGAUGAUAAAAAUGUUUUUAUUUUACGCAAGUUAUUUACUUUUUGACAGUGUUGUGGAAAUAUUUGUUAAAAAGACAAACACGUGAAUAAAAAGAAGAUGCACUUCGUAGAAUGGUCGUCAUUGAUUUAUUCAGAUUUGCAAUUGCAAAAAUAGUCACACCAUGAACAGAUCUGAGCAGAGGGCCUGAUCACACCACAACAACCAGCAAAGUUUCAGGAAAUCAGUUUUACAAAACACUGAACCAUACUUCAGAUGGUAUUUGUGAUAAGAUUGUACAGUAUAAGGGUUUGGCACCAUAAGGGCCCUGGCAUGAACAGCAGCAUUUACAUCCCUGAGAUCCUGAACAAACCUCCACUCAUCCGGUGGUUUGUCGCUGAUCUUUUUCACAGGGAAAACAGGUGAUCGAAUAGGUGAAUCAUCACACGGUAUUAUCACACCAGCAUUCAACAACGACUCAAGAACAGGAGUAAUUCCCUCAACAGCUUCAGGCUAUAAUAGAUAUUGUUGCAACUUAGGCCUGAAUGUAGAUUUUGGGUGCACAACAGGCUCAAAAUCUUUUAUCAAACCAACAUCAUAUUUGUGUGUUGCCCACAAAUGCGUACGCACCUGUGAGAGACAUGCUGGAACCAUUCCAGGUUCACUUAUGCCCCGUUUCCAUUAGUACCUACUUAGCACGACUCAGCUUGGCUCAGCAUGGUUCCAUGCCGUUUCCAUUACUAAAAAAUCAUGGAACCGAUACUUUUUUUAGUACCUACUUAGUUGAGGUUCUAUCAGAGCCGAGCCAUGCUGUAAAAUGUGAUGUCAUAUCACUGUCGGUCACUGAUUGGUUGAGGGGUGGCGUCACUAGUUGCUCCCUCUACCCUCACAACAACAACAACUUGAGGUACCAUUAUUUCUUUGCCGUGGACCAACAUUUGAUACUCAAAAAUGGCAACACAGAAACCCACACCGUGGUCAAACUCUGAGGUGCAGGAGUUUUUGUGCUUGGUGACAAGAGGACAAAAUUCAGAGUGAGCUAGAUGGCUCUACUCGCAACGAAAAAGUUUUCAAGGAGAUCUCGGAGCUGAUGGCCAGUCGUGGCUUACCAGUGAAUGCCAAAGCAGUGUCGGGAAAAUAUGGCCUCUGCUCUGUUGGAGUCCUUGAUGGACGAUGGUGAGUGUUAUUUUUAACUGUAUUUUAUUUCAUUCCUUCGGUGGUGAGUGUAUUUUGAACAAACUGCAAACAUUGACGCGUUUUGUGUAGAUCGCGCUGACUUCAUUACUCCCGAUGCAGUAGGGCAGCUGCUAGCAUCAAUGCUAACUGUGAUUUGUUACUGUGUACUGCUUUGGUCUGCAACUAUGUAAAUAUUGCGGGUUUUCUCAAGGGCUGUGUUUCUUUUUUCAGAACGUAUGUCGACAUAAAACGAGCUGUGGCUUAAUGUAGGUUUGGACCCACCAUGCUCCCCGGAUCCAAAUCAACUCCAGCCAGACCAUCGGGGCCUAGUAGUUGCACGCAGAGCAGCCAGCAGCACAGCAGUUGGGUGUAGCAGGUACGAGGCAGGAGAAGGCGCGGUGCUACAAAACAGCAUUCGUUGGCCGCAGCAGUGCAGACUGAAGACGAGAUGAUGCGAGAUCAGCGGGACCAACAUGUUCAACUUCUUCUGGAUGAUGCACGGGAGGCCAGAGAGCAGGAGACGAUCCUGGUGCUGGAGGAGCUGCAGCAGAACGCCACAUUCAGUCAAGCAUUCUUGGGGUGUUGGGGGACAUUGCACGUGCGAUGACGUCGCCUACAUGACUCAGGCAGGGGAACGGGUACCUCCACCUGCUGGCGAGAGUGUUAACUACAUCCAGGCGGAGCAUCACCCUUCAGUACCGAACAGAACUCAGGGAACGGGCACAGUCAGGAAAGCCGUGCAGAGUGACAGAUGUUAUGAUCCCUGCUGCUAUGUCUGGUCUGUCUCCUCCCUGACCUUGCUCUUUGAACUGUGGCAAUGAAGAUUUAUUUUAAAUAUGUGGAAAGCAGCCAGCACAACUUCUGCACAGAAAUGAAAGACAAUUGGGUUUAACCCAGCAUUAAUAAACUAGCUUGGCAAGGGAUGUAACAGGUAACAACAACUAAUCAUGUUAACUAGCUAAACAUUAUAUAAUGUGUAACUCUUCUUUUAGCUAACAUUAUCUGCCUCCAACAGCAUGACUCAACUUACAUGGUUUGUUUGGUAAAAAACUGUGUGAAGUUUUAGUUGCUCUUUACACCACGAGGCUCUGCUCAGCACAGCAGCUCCUAUCCGUCAUCUGCAGGAGUAGCUUGUGCACGCUUAUGGUGCGUUCAAAGACGGCUCAGAAAAACUCACUACCAUAUGUUAAUAAUGGAUACAGCUGUUACGGCUGAGAAAAGUGCGGGACAGAGAGCACAGAUGCAGGAAAAGCAGGAAGACAUGUCCACGCAUAUCCCGCAUCCAUUGUGUCCGUGCCUUCACUGCCCAGGGCCCUUUGGAGACCAUGGGCCCCUGGGCAAUUGCCCAAUUGCCCAUAUGGUUAAUCCGGCCUUGUGUAUUUUGUACUCUUAAAUCAGACUUUGUACUUGUAGCUUAAAUUUGUAACUUUUGGAUAUGUAAAUAGGAAUGUGUGUGUGUAAAAUAGAGUUGUAUCUGUAAAAAUAAAUUUUGUAUCUGUAAAAAUGA